rfam:Moraxella bovoculi 237 MBO_237Contig35, whole genome shotgun sequence.
UUGGCAGACUAGACAAUCGCCGUCCAAACUUUGGAGGGAGGAAAGUCCGGGCUACAUAGGGCGACGUGCUAGCUAACGGCUAGGAGGCGAGAGCCUACGACCAGUGCAACAGAGAGCAGACCGCCUAUUAUAUAGGUAAGGGUGAAAGGGUGGGGUAAGAGCCCACCGCAUGACUGGCAACAGUUCAUGGCAUGGUAAACUCCACGUGUAGCAAGACCAAAUAGGUGUCCAACGAGUUGCCCGCUUGGGACACGGGUAGGUUGCUUGAGCGUAUCAGUGAUGAUGCGCCUAGAUGAAUGAUUGUCCACGACAGAACCCGGCUUAUCGGUUUGCCAUAAUA